rnacentral:tRNA from 1 species
AGGGGCUUAGGAUAACAUUGAGACCAAGAGCCUUCAAAGCUCUAAGCGGGUGUGAAAAUCACCCAGCCCUUG